UAUAUCAGUUAUAUCUAUUGUUAAAGAAUUUAACGUGUUAUGAACUCCGAAGUUAAGCGAGUUUGGGCGAGAGUAGUAUUAUGAUGUGUGACCUCCUGUGAAGUCCUCGUGUUGCAUCCC
rnacentral:rRNA from 1 species